UGCUUCUUUCAUUUUGCAGAGGCCUUGUUAAAAAGGAAAGCAGUGAGAUUAUUGGUUGCUAUGGGCAACUGGGCAACUUUUCUUCUGGACAGGUUUUGAUAAAUCUCCGCCAUGGUGUAUAUUAUAAAGGAAUUUCAGGAGGAUCAGAAUCUGCUGACAAAUUAAGGAGCCAUCUGGGUGUCAUUUUCUGCAGAGAGAAGAUUUAGCUGACAAAGUCACAGCGCAAAAACAGCCAUGCACAAUAUGUGGAUUUCAGCCAAUCAGAGAGCAGCACUGCCCAAAUAGAACUCCCAGGAGGAGCAGCGUGUCACACAUGUGAUGUCAUAACCACUGUCCACCAGAGAGCAGCACUAAGCAGAAAUAACACGGCUCCUGCUCAUUCUGGACACUGUAGGGACCCGGGAAUGCAGAUUCAUACACAGGUCUGGUUAGUGUCGUUCCAUAUACAUUUCUAUAAUAAACAUGGAAAUCAUCUUUCUUUUCUGUUGUUUUUCUAUCUUAGAUGAAGUAUUUCCAGGAUGUGGAGUCGCAUUUCCAGACUUACAGCAAGAAGUUGGAUGAAGACAUAACCCCUGGAAUCACGCACAUACACAGACACAUUUGCCCAAAUUCUAGAGGUAACCUCCUUUAGUAUGCCCAGAGGAAGGGCAAUACAGUAGCCAUGGAUUCCCUACAGGUUUCCUCCCCUCUGGAGGUUUUUCCUGUCCUGAGUAUUAGUUACUGUACGCUCUUUGUGAGUGAUGGGAGGUUACAAAAAACCCCUACACAAACAUUGUAAUAAAUAAUAAAUAAAGUUUCCCCUUUUUUAACCCUUC